CCCCCUUCUCCUAGACAUACACAUACCCACACACACUGAAUUUCUGUAGUCUUUUUUUAUGUGUGACUCCAGGCGGAUUAUUUGGUAUGAGAAACACAUAGCAGACAGCGUUCCCUCUGCUCUGCUUUCUUCUCACACAGAUCCACAGGACUUGAUGCUUGGCUUGGAGAGGCAACACCAACUGGCUGCUUUAGAGACUCGGGAAGCAGAAACAUAAAGCCUGCAGCACAAUGGUCAUUACACCUGAUAAUCAGUUCCUCCUGACCUCGGGGGAUUGCUCCCUCCUCAUCUGGAGGAUCACCGACUAGUGUUGAGCAUGGUAAAAAAAAACAAAAAAACACACACUAUACUGUAUUGAGUGGUUCAUCCGUACCCAGGCCAAGGAUAUGCAAUUACCUAUAUAUUCUUUGAAACUGAUAGAAUGAGCUUAACUUUAUAGUAGUAACUUCCACAGUGGUGUAGAGCUCCAGGGUCCCUGGUUCAGUCCUGAGGUCAUGUGACGGUCUGUGUGGUGUUUUGCAUGUUCUCUCCAUGGGUUUCCUCUACUUAGUAAUGUCUGUGCAACUAACAAAGGCUAUCUCGUUAUAUUUUAUAGUAACACAGUUGCUGGAUAAAACGCUCAAAGUUUCUGAUAUUUUUCUGUGUUAAACCAUGCAGGACCACAGUACACCAGAGGCAGAAGACCAGAUGGACAAGCUAAAUGAGUAUCAUAUGGACUGCAGGACAAAGCUUAACAAAGUCAGACAGAAUUUCCUCCAGGAGAUCGAGACUUUGAUAAGCCAAAUCCAGGUUAGACUAUGAGAUUUCAGUUCCCGAUCAUUUAGCUGUAAGGCCUCAUUAGUGAGACUAGGACAGUAGAUAAUGGUCAAUUUAUGAUUUGUGGGCUGAUGUAAUACAAUAGGUGUCAGUGCUGAAUCCCCCUAAUUUCUUUUCCUAGUAUUCUUACUAGUUAAAUGUACUAUAUGGGGGAAUAGAGAUUCAUCGGGAUUAGUACAUUUGGAGUGUUUACACUUUAGCUUGCAUCUUCUUCUCCACCUUCUCCCUACAGUAACAGGCCGAGCUGCUGAACUCUGAGGAGAUCCAGAAGGAGAUGAAGCAGAAAGUUGACUCUAAGCUCAAGGAAAUCAGCCACAAAUAUGAGAAACAGCUCCCGGAGGAGAAAGGGG
ensembl:lncRNA